rnacentral:rRNA from 1 species
AACGAACGCUGGCGGCAUGCCUAACACAUGCAAGUCGAACGAAGUCUUCGGACUUAGUGGCGCACGGGUGCGUAACGCGUGGGAAUCUGCCCUUAGGUACGGAAUAACUCAGGGAAACUUGUGCUAAUACCGUAUGAUGUCGAAAGACCAAAGAUUUAUCGCCUAGGGAUGAGCCCGCGUAGGAUUAGCUAGUUGGUGGGGUAAAGGCCUACCAAGGCGACGAUCCUUAGCUGGGCUGAGAGGAUGAUCAGCCACACUGGGACUGAGACACGGCCCAGACUCCUACGGGAGGCAGCAGUGGGGAAUGUUGGACAAUGGGCGAAAGCCUGAUCCGGCAAUGCCGCGUGAGUGAUGAAGGCCUUAGGGUUGUAAAGCUCUUUUACCCGGGAAGAUAAUGACUGUACCGGGAGAAUAAGCCCCGGCUAACUCCGUGCCAGCCGCCGCCGUAAGAC